AUCACAGGGAUCUUGUUAAAAUGCAGAUUAUGAUUCAGGAGAUCUGAAGUCCAAGAUUCUGCAUUUCUAACAAGCUCCCGUGUGGAGCUGA
rnacentral:pre_miRNA from 1 species